rnacentral:rRNA from 1 species
CGUGAUCCGCCCUUCGGGGUGGUGAAAGUGGCGCACGGGUGAGUAACGCGUGGAUAAUCUGCCCGAGGAUUUGGGAUAACAUCUCGAAAGGGGUGCUAAUACCGAAUAAGCCCACGGGGUCUACGGAUCUUGCGGGAAAAGGGGGGGACCUUCGGGCCUCCUGUCCUUGGAUGAGUCUGCGUACCAUUAGCUAGUUGGUGGGGUAAUGGCCUACCAAGGCGACGAUGGUUAGCUGGUCUGAGAGGAUGAUCAGCCACACUGGAACUGAGACACGGUCCAGACUCCUACGGGAGGCAGCAGUGGGGAAUUUUGCGCAAUGGGGGAAACCCUGACGCAGCAACGCCGCGUGGGUGAUGAAGGCCUUCGGGUCGUAAAGCUCUGUCUGGAGGGAAGAAAUGAUUGGGAGCUAAUACCUCUUGAUCUUGACGGUACCUCUGAAGGAAGCACCGGCUAACUCCGUGCCAGCAGCCGCGGUAAUAC